rnacentral:rRNA from 1 species
CCUACGGGAGGCAGCAGUGAGGAAUAUUGGUCAAUGGACGAGAGUCUGAACCAGCCAAGUAGCGUGAAGGAUGACUGCCCUAUGGGUUGUAAACUUCUUUUAUAUGGGAAUAAAACGUUCCACGUGUGGGAUUUUGUAUGUACCAUAUGAAUAAGGAUCGGCUAACUCCGUGCCAGCAGCCGCGGUAAUACGGAGGAUCCGAGCGUUAUCCGGAUUUAUUGGGUUUAAAGGGAGCGUAGGUGGAUUGUUAAGUCAGUUGUGAAAGUUUGCGGCUCAACCGUAAAAUUGCAGUUGAAACUGGCAGUCUUGAGUACAGUAGAGGUGGGAGGAAUUCGUGGUGUAGCGGUGAAAUGCUUAGAUAUCACGAAGAACUCCGAUUGCGAAGGCAGUUCACUGGACUGCAACUGACACUGAGGCUCGAAAGUGUGGGUAUCAAACAGGAUUAGAUACCCCUGUAGUC